rnacentral:tRNA from 1 species
GAAGCAAUAGCUCAGUGGUAGAGCCCCGCUUCGCGUGCGGGGAGACCCGGGUUCGAUUCCCGGCUGCUUCC